UACGUAGGGGGCUAGCGUUGUCCGGAAUCAUUGGGCGUAAAGAGCGUGUAGGCGGCCCGGUAAGUCCGCUGUGAAAGUCGGGGGCUCAACCCUCGAAUGCCGGUGGAUACUGUCGGGCUAGAGUGCGGAAGAGGCGAGUGGAAUUCCUGGUGUAGCGGUGAAAUGCGCAGAUAUCAGGAGGAACACCAAUUGCGAAGGCAGCUCGCUGGGACGUAACUGACGCUGAGACGCGAAAGCGUGGGGAG
rnacentral:rRNA from 1 species